UAUGACAAACUAGUGUCAAAGUGUUUCCUGCACCCCUUACCGUGGAGAUGUGCGCCAGUGAAGUGCGACGAGAAGGUUAGAGCGGGGGAAGAUUAUGCUUUCUCCCUCAGUACCGCAAGCCGAAGUGAAAAGUAAAGCAACAAUAGUACUCUCGUCUACUGUUAUACUCUAACGUAACCAUGUUUGCAGGUAUUUGAGGCUCUGUCUACUUUGCUUGACAUUUACUAAUGUUUUGCUACUAUUUUAGGGACGCCGCCUACGAGAUCUAUGACUUCGAGUCUAUAUGAAUUUGCUGAUUCGCUGAUAUUCGCAGACGAGAUCUAUGACGUCUAGUCUGUAUCAACCAUUUAUUGCAGAUCGUAAUCACGCAAAUUGUCGACGAUGCUGGUGAGGCAGAUGAAGUCCAGCAUUCUACAACAAUAACAAAAAGUUUGCAACUUAAUUAUUGUAAGUCUUUGACAGUGGCAAAGACCAGUCCCCAGAGACAAAGACCCCUGGCAAAGACCAACUCGGAGGGGUUAGUAGAUUUAGCAAUGCAGCUUUGCUAAAAAAGCGUGCAAUAUUGAUGAUCCUGAUACUGAUCCUAUCGCGUCAAAAACGCGAAAAACAAACAAUAGAAAAAUAGCAAAAGGAACAGAAAGGAAAAACGACCAAUAGUUGCAUUGUUCGAUAGCAAUUUGAUGUAAAGUAGAUGGACAAGAAGAACUACAUAGUCAAAUCACGCCAACAAUAGGCUUAGUGCACACCAUAAAGUAAAUAUCUGUUAUAGAAGUAAGAUUCGGUACUACAGCGUAGGCUGUUCAACCAAUUCCGAGCAUGUUUACAAUAUUUUUAUUCUUAUACCAAUUCGCACAGUAUGCGGCUUGUUCUGAGAUAUGCAUGUUUUGCAGGGAGGGGCUGAGGACUUUAAAAAUGCUGUUCUGUUAGGUACCUUGUUAGCACACAUGCUUUCAAUGAUAGAUACUUUCACUCCAGUACCGAGUGUAUUAUUCCGUUUUAAUAUGCGCUAGAAGUACAAACAAACCCUUCUUUUAGCGACAUGUGUGAAAUAUUUUCUUCUAUUUUACUGCUGAUGCUGUUUUUGCGGCGCUCUUUUCGGCAUAUCCCGUUACAUAAUGUUAAGCACAGUCCAGUAGACCGGAGACCUUUGCCUUCUUUAGUGGACUCACUCACAUCAUAGACUCACUAGGUCGUACUAGAAUAGUCAUGGGGCAUGUUUUAUUUAGACCGCCUUUCAAAUUUCACAGUACGUCUACUUGUUUCAAUAACGAGAAACGCGUCAACGGACACUAAAGAGUCUCUUGGACGUUUUAAUAAGGGUUGUUGGAAGGUGUUGUACGGUUUCCAAAAGUCGUGUUUAUCAUUUUAAUUAAGAAUGGCAACUCGUUCAUGCAUUUACUGUUAGAAUGUGUGUCUGAGACAAAUAUCAACCACUCAUAAUAAGUUUUCCCAAGUUUUGUAUCUAUAUUGGCUAACCUAGCCGUGUUUGUUCUAUUGCAUAUUUCCUGUUCAGGUGCUUUCCUGGGAACAUAGGAAAUGUAUCAAGUGAAACUAUGUUAUUAAGCUUUAGAUAAUCUGGUCGAAGUCUUUAUUUAGUUUGAAUAUUAUUAUUCUUUUGAAUUAGCAAAAAGUAUUGCAUGGCGAAAUCGAAUUGUAUAUGACUAUUGUUCGGAUUUGUCCUUCAUGCCACGCCAUAGCUCGUCUUCUUUCUUAGCGAUCUCUGUCACUGGUAUAAAUCACUUGUUCCAGUGUAGAGUUUGUCUCAUCUUCCUGAUAUUUGAGUAUUGCAUCGCUAAGUUUUGUACACGCACUAGCAGUUGCUCCAGUUCUUCGAUGGUGAUGCACCACCAACGAUGCAUUUAGUAUUGCAACUCUGCAAGUGUCAAGAAUGUGGAAUAUUUUCUCUUUUGUGAGUUAGAAGAUAUUUUCGGAAGUUUUUGCUUCAAUAUUUUACUGCAAACCAAACACUUUCUGCUGAUGGUUUUGCCAUUGUGAUUGCAGCUUUUUUGAGAAUGGUGAUGUACAUCUUUUGAUUGCUCAUCUUCAACGACUCGUGAGCCGGGAUGCUUGCACACGUUACAUACCAUCACGUAUAGAGCCUUAAAAUAUGAACAGUUUUAUGAUACAACCACUUACAUUUUUGUCCGUUGUGCGGUUUUCCGCGUUGGCUUUUCCGAUACUUUUGUUUGAUUUGCACAGGCAAGUGUCUAAUGCCAUUUUGGUGCAUUACUUUUGUGUGUGUGAGUGUGGAUGUUGAUUUCACUAACUGAUAUAUUGAUUUAUAUCGUAGUUGAUCGUGUUGAUGAUUAUAAUUUUCCUUUACUGCUUUUCCAUUUGUUCAUCCGCAGAACUAGAAUAAUGUUAACACUUUCUCAAUGAACACCCACUUUUAAUGAAGAAACUUCAAACACAAUUAUCGUCUCUUCGAAGGCCUUAAGGUUGAUGUUUGUCGAUGGCUUUGAUAUGUUUGUGGUGUUUUAUUGCUUCGACUUUCGUCUAUUUUAGUGCCGAUACUGUUUGUGCGGUGUUAUUUUCGGCGUAUACCUCUCUAUGUAUGAGGAAUAGUAGUCUCACCACAGUCUGGCAACUCGUUCAUGCAGUCACUGUUAGAGUGUGUGUCUGGGAGAAAUAUC